AGUGUCGGGAUUGUUCACCCGCCAAUAGGGAACGUGAGCUGGGUUUAGACCGUCGUGAGACAGGUUAGUUUUACCCUACUGACAAAGUAGAUACUGCGACAGUAGUCGAAGUUAGUACGAGAGGAACACUUCGUCCAGAUACUUGGUUAAUGCCGUUGUCUGAAAAGACAGUACGGCGAAGCUACCAUCUGCUGGAUUACGGCUGAACGCCUCUAAGCCGGAAUCCAUGCUGGAUAAGCAGUGUUGUACACCGUGCUCAAUGCUACAAGAAAAAGGCUAGGUCAGGCUUCGGCCUGACCAAAAUUCAAGCUGCUAUACCUCUGGCUGCAUUGACUUGUGGUCAGAGUGUAUGGUGAUCAUAGCAAUUGCAAGUAUUGGGCUCGAUAAAUCCUUUGAAGACGACUUAAUUGCAUCCGGGUAUUGUAAGUGUUGAGAGUAGGCUUAGUCUUACGAUCCACUGAGAUUCAUCCCGUGUUGCGCCGAUUUGU
rnacentral:ncRNA from 1 species